rnacentral:rRNA from 1 species
GACGAACGCUGGCGGCGUGCCUAAUACAUGCAAGUAGAACGCUGAAGGAGGAGCUUGCUCUUCUGGAUGAGUUGCGAACGGGUGAGUAACGCGUAGGUAACCUGCCUGGUAGCGGGGGAUAACUAUUGGAAACGAUAGCUAAUACCGCAUAACAGUAGAUGUUGCAUGACAUUUACUUAAAAGGUGCAAUUGCAUCACUACCAGAUGGACCUGCGUUGUAUUAGCUAGUUGGUGGGGUAACGGCUCACCAAGGCGACGAUACAUAGCCGACCGGAGAGGGUGAUCGGCCACACUGGGACUGAGACACGGCACAGACGCCUACGGGAGGCAGCAGGAGGGAAUCGUCGGCAAGGGACGGAAGUCUGACCGAGCAACGCCGCGUGAGGGAAGAAGGUUGUCGGAUCGUAAAGCUCGGUUGUAAGAGAAGAACGAGUGUGAGAGUGGAAAGUACACACUGUGACGGUAUCUGACCAGAAAGGGACGGCUAACUACGUG